AUUGAACGCUAGCGGCAGGCUUAAUACAUGCAAGUCGAGGGGCAGCACAGGUAGCAAUACUGGGUGGCGACCGGCAAACGGGUGCGGAACACGUACACAACUUACCUUAAGGUGGGGGAUAGCCCAGGGAAACUUGGAUUAAUACCCCAUAAUACAGGGGGCCCGCAUGGGUCUAUUGUUAAAGAUUUAUUGCCUUAAGAUGGGUGUGCGUCUGAUUAGGUAGUUGGUGAGGUAAAGGCUCACCAAGCCAACGAUCAGUAACUGGUGUGAGAGCACGACCAGUCGCACGGGCACUGAGACACGGGCCCGGCUCCUACGGGAGGCAGCAGUAAGGAAUAUUGGUCAAUGGACGGAAGUCUGAACCAGCCAUGCCGCGUGAAGGAUGAAGGUCCUCUGGAUUGUAAACUUCUUUUAUAGGGGGCGAAAAAGGGCCUUUUGAGGUCAACUGACGGUACCCUAUGAAUAAGCACCGGCUAACUCCGUGCCAGCCGCCGCAGUAACAC
rnacentral:rRNA from 1 species